GAGAUCGGGAUAACACCUGGAAACAGAUGCUAAUACCGGAUAAUAACAGAUGAUGCCUAUCAACUGUUUAAAAGAUGGUUCUGCUAUCACUCUUGGAUGGACCUGCGGUGCAUUAGCUAGUUGGUAGGGUAACGGCCUACCAAGGCGAUGAUGCAUAGCCGAGUUGAGAGACUGAUCGGCCACAUUGGGACUGAGACACGGCCCAAACUCCUACGGGAGGCAGCAGUG
rnacentral:rRNA from 1 species